AUGGGUAGGUGGAUAUGGUGGCUCCUUCCUCUCGCACCUGUCGGUCGGGUUCUAUCGGGGCGGCUCGGUGGCGAUAGCAGCAGUUCUAGGGUUCGAGAAUCUCUGCUCCGGCGCGCAUGGAGUUCUUGAUGCAGCCGUUCAACAGUAGAACUCCGAUUGAAGAGGUGACUGACAGCGAUUUACCAAUGGAACCGCUGCAUCACCCUGUUAGAUCGCCGCCCGGCGCUGAAGUGGCAGCUGCGAGUGCUUCAAGUGGCGGAGCGCAGAUCUGUCCGGUGUCGGCGGUAGGAUAAGCAGGGAGUGGAGAUAAGCCAGAGGCUUCAGAAAACUCCAUGGAGCAGAUUGAUUCAAAGACGCCUGGGUGUACACGAAGAGUCAGGAUCGGAGCUGCCGUGCCAGGUCGUGCCCCAUGCCCAGGUAGGAUCACAACAUUGGAGAAAUCAGUCCGCGCCUUUGCCGAGGCCCCUGGGGAGAAUGUCAUUGUACCGAAAUUAGGGGUCACUUUUGAUACCUGUAUUCAUGGGAGAAAGGAUUUGGAAUUCGAUGUGGGAAGAGUAGGCUAAAUGUCAAUCGGACAAAAUGCAUGCAGGAGAUAGGGUGUGGUUGUGCGGCAAAGCCAAUAGUGGAGAAUACUUCAUCCUGCCGGUGUGAACGUCCUGCUCUCUUAACUGAAAUUCGGGAUGUGGGGGCUGGUAGCGCCUGUCCUUCAUUGGCACGGACAAGUGUUCAGCGUCUUGUGGUGAUACUUGUUGAGCCGCGACAUCACAACUGCCUGAGUCGGACAUGAUUACAGCCUGUAGAUAAUGUUGUCAGUGCUUAAGCAAUGUAGUAUCACAUAGCGUGCGGUCCCUAUGUCCAGUGAUAUCAGACAUGCAAAAUGCUAUGCUUGAUGUGUACGUAGGCAUGCACUAGCAAAAAUAUUAAGAACAGAAUGUAUUCUGGACAAAGUAGUUCUGCCUCGAAUCUGCAUAUGCAUGCGCUCGUUUUUGCAUUG